ensembl:lncRNA
CUUGUUUGUCUGUCUACCUGCCUACAUGUCUGUCUGCUUGUCUGUGGGUCUGUUUAGUAUGUCUGUCUGUGGCGUUAUCGGUCAGUCUGUCUGUCUGUCUUGUUGUCUGCCCACCUGUCUAUCAGUCUGUCUGUUUGCCCACUGGUCUGUCUAACUACCCGUUGUCUAUAGACCUGUCUGUCUCUCUGAUUAUGUAUAAAACCUCUCCAGUAUGUCCGUGGUGGUGUGUUUGAGAUUAAUCAGCACUUUGGAGGAGGAUCUGUCUGUCUGUUUGCCUGUCUGUCUACAUACCUGUCUGUCUGUCUACAGAGUGUUUUAUAUAAUGUUAAAUACAGCGUCACGUUCACAAACGUAUGGAACGUUUUAAAGAAACGUUAUCGCAGCUUUAUCGCUAUGAUUUCUACCGACGAGUUCGUAGAACGUUCCUGAGCGUAGUCCGGCGUACAGGAUGACUGACGUGUCUGAGGGGAGAGAAAAAGCGAGACAGAAGACCGAGAGGACAACGAGAUAUCGACUGGAGAAUACAGAAGAAACAUGAAGCUCAUAAUAUGUGUACUGUGUUGGGACACGGGAAGGGAGGAACAAAUCAUGGUGAAAGAAAGAGAAAGACAGUUAGAGAGAGAGACAGACUGAGAGAGAGAGAGAGAGAAGAGGAGAUUAGUAUGCAUGAGCUCACUGUCUCCUCUAAAGCACUUUGUCACCCUAUUCACUCCCUCUGAGCUCUUAUUGAGUCUGGGGUCAUGGCACAGUAAGUACAGUACGGCAGAGAGACAGACAGCUGCAGUUAGACAGCUUGGAUUGUGCAGAAAGACAGGACAUGGCCAUGGGCAGAGACACUGGAGACAGCUUUAGCAGAGGGACAAGAAAUGGGUUAUACAGAGAGACAGGAGUAAGAAGAAAGACAGUAGACAGGCAUACGCAGAGAGACGGUAGACAGGUUUAGCAGAGAGACAGGCAUAAGCAGAGAGACAGGCAUAAGCAGAGAGACAGGAGACAGGCAUAAGCAGAGAGACAGUAGACAGACAUAAGCAGAAAGACAGUAGACAGGUUUAGCAGAGAGACAGGCAUAAGCAGAGAGACAGUAGACAGGCAUAAGCAGAGAGACAGGCAUAAGCAGAGAGACAGUAGACAGGUUAAGCAGAGAGACAGGCAUAAGCAGAAAGACAGUAGACAGGCAUAAGCAGAGAGACAGGCAUAAGCAGAGAGACAGUAGACAGGCAUAAGCAGAGAGACAGGCAUAAGCAGAGAGACAGGCAUAAGCAGAGAGACAGUAGACAGGUUUAGCAGAGAGACAGGCAUAAGCAGAGAGACAGUAGACAGGCGUAAGCAGAGAGACAGGCAUAAGCAGAGAGACAGUAGACAGGUUUAGCAGAGAGACAGGCAUAAGCAGAGAGACAGUAGACAGGCGUAAGCAGAGAGACGGGCAUAAGCAGAAUGUCAGUAGACAGGUUUAGCAGAGAGACAGCUUCAACAUAGAAAGAGACAAAAGAACAUAAUCAGCAGAGACCGGUAGACAGGAGACAGCGCAACCAAGGCAGAGUUUAUCAGUGGGUGUGAGCGAGAGAGAGAGAGAGAGAGAGAGAGAGAGCGCGAGAGAGAGAGACAGCUGUCUUAUAUCCUGUAAUUCAGUUCAUUGGAUGUUGGUGAAAAUGUAAAGGCACGGCAGAGCGCACUGGUGCGUGUUGAAGACGGAGAGUAGUGUUUACUCAUGUCGCUGAAUUUCACGGCGUUUUGAACGAACAAAUCUUUGGCAUUAUCGCCGAUCCGUAAAUAAGUGUUUCCUCCUCUCUGACGCUUAGCUGCUGCGUUGUUCUUCUUCAGCAACUUGUAAUGGCACGCCAUGCAGAUCUGUCAUCAGUGUUUCCUUCUGGUGUGUGUGUGUGUGUGUGUGUGUGUGUGUGUGUGUGUGUGUGAGAUCAUGCUCGUUCUCUUCCUCCCUGUCUCGGAGGAUCUGUAAAGCACGAGACAAUACAGCACGGUCUGAGGAACAUCUGAAGCGUGUGGAAGAAGUCGGCCAUGUUUGAUGGGCACUCUGGGUGGUGUGUUAGUGAGAAAAACAGGAAGUGAAGAGGAUGGAACAGGAAAUUAAUCCCGAGGAUAAUGAAUAUAAUAUAAAAUUCUGGUUUAAGUGUGUGUGUGUGUGUGUGCACGUCCUGAAGUGUUUUAUUCCUUCACACCACAGCGAAUUUUCCACUGAUUCCGUUUUGUAUUUAUUAAAGAACGACACACAAUGUAGUUAUACCCCAGCACGUGGUUUCAACGGAAGGAGUCUCCAGUGUCGGAGGUAAAGCUGGAAGUUGUUGUUUUUUUUUUUUUCUCUGACAUCUUUAGGACAGAGGGGGUUUUAAUCAUUUUUUUUUGUGUAUCAAACAGUGUUUAUUACAGAACGAGAAAGUGAAGGGACGACAGUUUAGGGCUGCCGCAAGAUAAGUAACGGCAGAAACUCGUGUUGUGGACGUUCUGUAACAAUAAACGGACAAAAAAUAUAUAUUUUCCAAAAAUGUCAUCUUUGGAGAAUUGUUCAGCAGCGGUUAGAAUCCUGGUCAUGAACUGACGAGGUUAAAAUGAGGGAUUGUCGGAGUGAGAGAAACGGCUAAACACGUAGCGUAGUGCUAAGAAAAACAUACACACAAGCACACACACACACACACACACAUUACGUUAGUGUGUAAAUGUUCGAUCUGUUACUGUGUGGGAUUUACACACUGCGUUUAUUCACGUUCUCCUCAUCCUCACUGUGUGCUGCACUUAAAUCUUGCAUCACUCUUGUUUUUAUUUCAAUGCUAAGCUACCUUUAGGGCUUUGAGCCGCCGGUCGUGUCCCAAACCCAUAACACUCUGGUGCUCGGUGUGGUUCGGACCCACCGCAGCACAGUGGAGAGGCUUCAAAGAGCCUGUAGACUAAACAAACAGCUGUUUCUCUCUCUCUCUCUCUCUCUCUCUCUCCUCUUUUUUUUCCUCUUCUCCUUUCAUUUUCUUCGUUCUUUCUCCUUUCCUCCUGGUCCACAUCUCGGAUUGUUCGGGGUUUUCGUUUUAACCCGUCCCGGACUCGGUGCUCUGUGUUUUGCGGUCGAGCGAGUUAAAAUAGCAGUUUAGGAAUGUUCUGUGUCACAGGUGUACAUCAACUCGACGCCUUAUUUCGUCUGCCUGGAAGUAGAAAAUAAAAAGAGUAAUAAAACGAACCGAUUCGUACCGACGCUGUAUUUUGACACUGGAGCGACGUGACUGAAAUGUCGCAGCUGACAGCGUUGUAGAAAUGACGGGUUUCAUUUAUUAAAAUGAUAUUUCACUGCACUGCUACUACCGUCGAAUAGCUCUGUUUUAAUUAAAUACAAAAAGUUUUGUGACGAUAACACAACACAGUCCUGUUCUCUGUGUAGAGUUCAUUUAUUACAGUCUCGGCUAGCGUGUGUGUGUGUGUGUGUGUGCGCACGCUACAUGCACUAGGAGUGUACUGACUCGUGUGGGGACGAGUGUGACGCGGUCGCCGCUCCUGUUGACCCCGUGACCUUGUGUUGUGGAGCCACUCCAACAAGGAGGCUUCUGUUCUGUAGAAUGACAUCACAGGUCCUCUCACCUACUAGUCUGUGUGU